CAUGCCUUAUACAUGCAAGUCGAACGCGAAAGCACUUUCGGGUGUUAGUAGAGUGGCAAACGGGUGAGUAACGCGUGGGAAUAUACCUUAUAGUACGGAAUAGCCUCGGGAAACUGGGAUUAAUACCGUAUACGCCCUUAGGGGGAAAGAUUUAUCGCUGUAAGAUUAGCCCGCGUCAGAUUAGCUUGUUGGUGGGGUAACGGCCUACCAAGGCGACGAUCUGUAGUUGGUCUGAGAGGACGAUCAGCCACAUUGGGACUGAGAUACGGCCCAAACUCCUACGGGAGGCAGCAGUAGGGAAUAUUGGACAAUGGACGAAAGUCUGAUCCAGCAAUGCCGCGUGAGUGAUGAAGGCCUUAGGGUUGUAAAGCUCUUUUAGUAGGGAAGAUAAUGACGGUACCUACAGAAAAAGCACCGGCUAACUCCGUGCCAGCCGCCGCGGUAA
rnacentral:rRNA from 1 species